rnacentral:tRNA from 1 species
GGAGAGGUGUCCGAGCUUGGCCUAAGGAGCACGAUUGGAAAUCGUGUGGCGGCUAAUCCCCGUCCGGGAGUUCGAAUCUCCCUCUCUCCGCCA